rnacentral:rRNA from 1 species
GAUGAACGCUGGCGGCGUGCCUAAUACAUGCAAGUCGAGCGAACGGACGAGAAGCUUGCUUCUCUGAUGUUAGCGGCGGACGGGUGAGUAACACGUGGAUAACCUACCUAUAAGACUGGGAUAACUUCGGGACACCGGAGCUAAUCCCGGAUGAUAUUUUGAACCGCAUGGUUCAAAAGUGAAAGACGGUCUUGCUGUCACUUAUAGAUGGAUCCGCGCUGCAUUAGCUAGUUGGUAAGGUAACGGCUUACCAAGGCAACGAUGCAUAGCCGACCUGAGAGGGUGAUAGGCCACACUGGAACUGAGACACGGUCCAGACGCCUACGGGAGGCAGCAGUAGGGAAUCUUCCGCAAUGGGCGAAAGCCUGACGGAGCAACGCCGCGUGAGUGAUGAAGGUCUUCGGAUCGUAAAACUCUGUUAUUAGGGAAGAACAUAUGUGUAAGUAACUGUGCACAUCUUGACGGUACCUAAUCAGAAAGCCACGGCUAACUACGUG